ensembl:lncRNA
GAAGGGGAAGCCACCAAAAGAGGAACCCAAUUUACGGCUGGGCGGGGCGGGGCCCACCCACCUGCGUUUCCUCCCUCCACGAGACCAGUUGGGCGGGGCCAGCCCUGGCCUUGGUGGAGACCUCCCUCUGCCUGUCCCCAGCCUGUCACCUGCCCUGGUGCGCUGUUGGCCUCCGGAAGCCCCCAGCGCCGCUCGCUUGUAUCCCCGUGCCUUUACCUUAGUAACUGCGUCAACCACUUCUCCUACUGUCCUGUCUCCGGUCUCGAAGGGGGAACCCAGCUCCCCCCCCCAACGUGCACCUCCAACCCGGCCCCCACCCUCUCCACUGGCGCCCACGCGGCCCACCUCACCCCGCCUCCCCCCUGCCCAGGAAGCUUCGGGCUUAACCACAGCUUCCUGCCCCCAAGGAAGUCAGAGCACUGGGUGCUCCCAGCCCCCCUCUCCUCGGAGUACAGGCUGCUCCCCAGGGCACCUCCAUCCCCACCCCUGCUGGGGCGCGAGCUGGACCAGGAGCUAGACUGGCCUUGCUGCACACAGCACAGCUCCCGUGAGGAAGUCCAGUCUCUGGGGCCACCCUGUCCCACAGCUCUGGCUACCGCUGGCUGGAAAGAUGCACCCUCCCCCACUGGGCCUUGCCUACUGAGUUCUAGAACCUUCUACAUCAACCUUCCUGGCUCAGCCUCUCCCCUCAGUCCUGCGCCUGGCCGCCCUUUCCUGCCAGGCUCCCCGCUCUCCGUCCAGCCAACCACUCCUCACGAUCAGAGGCUCCAUUCACUCUCCUUGGCCUUUCUGAGCCGGCUCUACGGCCAGCCCAGCCUAACCUUUGGUGCUCACGCCGCAGGGGAGUUCCCCUGCCAGCAAGAACACCCUGGGAAGCAGCCAGACCCCCACCCCCACCCCCACACCGCCGUGGGACUCCCCGAGGGAGGCGCGGUGGGAAUCCGGGGGAGGGGCGGCCACGUUUCCGGGAAAGAGACAGCCCAGACCAGGGCCCACUUCAGUUCUUCGUUGUCCAGCGGCCGGUCACCAGAGGGCGGCCCCUUCAGUGGCCAAGUACUGGCAGCCCGUGCCUGUCAGAGGCAGGCGUCCAAGGCCCGCCCCCCUCAACCAGCAAACACACAACUGGGAAAUACUUGCCAGUGCAGCCUUUCCUGUGUGGCCACACUGGGCCAAGAACUGCACGCCCCAAAUGCCUGACAACCCAGGCUGCCGGGCAGGGAUGGAUGGGGCCCGGCAGGCCCAGCGGGCAGCUGCUCUCACACACACACACACACACACACAGUCACACAUCUGUGGGGGGGAGGGGCUGCAGAACCAGCCCAGCCGGUUUGGGAUUCCCGCCCUCACUGGGCUGCAGGCCAAAGCCCCCCAAGUGGCCCUCACGGCCUGGGAAAAGGGUUCACACCUACCUUGGAGGGAGGACUUUGAGAUUCAAACUAGGCCUGCUCGUGCUGUCCAAAGGAGGGCUGUCCACCCAGGGGGUACCUGCCGCGGCCCCUUCUCCGGCCAAAAACCUGGGCGAAGAAGGCGGAGGUCUGGUUAGGGCAGCCCCCAGUGGGUGGGCCGCAAAGUGGGCUGGCCAAAUUCACAGCGGGCAGGGUCCCUCGGCCCGACAGGGAGCCUAGAGGAACGGUGGCCCCCCAGACCCAGCUGCCUAGGCGGCCUGCACUCGGGAGGGGCAGGGAGGGGGGGUGGCGGGGUCCCGAAGGUUCAGACGGGGCGAAGAGCGGCGGGAGGCUACUCAUCUGCAUUUCCAAAGGCCCGCCCCGAGCACAUCCCCUCCCCCAGGGAGGGCCGGAGAGCUGAGGGUUCGCCCCAGAGCCCUCGGCCAGGGGCAUCCCGGGGGAGGCCUGCUCGGCUUUCCCAAGCCCCCACCCCCACCGCAGCCUGCCAGGCUGGGCUAGAGGGGUGCGCUCCGGGCGGCCCAGGCGGCCACGCGCAGAGUGGGGACAAAGGAGCUCCCGCCCUUCCGCGUGGCCCUCGAAAAACUACAGGGAGGCAGGGGACGGGGGUCGAAGCCAAGUGGAGGCGGCGGCUGGCCUUGAGGUCUCCUGCCACUGGCUCCCGCCCGGGAGGACGAAGGGC